GUGAAAUUGUUGAAAGGGAAGCGCUUGCAAUCAGACUUGCGCGCAGUUGAUCAUCUGGUGUUCUCACUAGUGCACUCGGCUGCGUUCAGGCUAGCAUCAGUUUCAGUGGUUGGAUAAAGGCCAGAGGAAUGUGACUUCUUUCGGGGAGUGUUAUAGCCUCUGGUGGAAUGCAACCUACUGGGACUGAGGACCGCGCUUCGGCUAGGAUGCUGGCGUAAUGGUUGUAAGCGACCCGUCUUGAAACACGGACCAAGGAGUGGAACAUUUUUGCGAGUGUUUGGGUGCAAAACCCAUACGCAUAAUGAAAGUGAAUGGAGGUGAGAACCCUCAAGGGUGCAUCAUCGACCGAUCCUGAUGUCUUCGGAUGGAUUUGAGUAAGAGCAAAACUGUUCCGACCCGAAAGAUGGUGAUCUAUACGUGAAUAGGGUGAAGCCAGAGGAAACUCUGGUGGAGGCUCGCAGCGGUUCUGACGUGCAAAUCGAUCGUCAAAUUUGCGUAUAGGGGCGAAAGUGAGUUUUUACCAUUACUAAUCGAACCAUCUAAACCCACUACUGGAUGGGAUAUGGGGUGACUGGGUGCCCAAGUAGUCUCCUAGUGAGGCAACAUUACUACUGUGCUGGUAUGCCUCCUGGGCUACCUGCAGCGGGCACCAGCUCGUUCACAGACUAAACAGUAAUGGCCCUGAGCUCAGGGUUGCGACAUAGCCGAUUCCUCCC
rnacentral:rRNA from 1 species